rnacentral:tRNA from 2 species
GGGGGUAUAGCGCAGUUGGGAGCGCGUCUGCUUCGCAUGCAGAAGGUCGGGGGUUCGAAUCCCCCUAUCUCCACCA